AGUGAUCAAUAUUAUAUGAAACAUUUGAAAAUGAAAAGUAAGAAUGCACACUUGUUAAUGUUUUAGAGCAUGAUUUUCAAUUUAAUUUAAUUUUUUUAAAAUAAGAAUUAAGGGGUAUCGGUGAUAAUAAGUGGUUGAUAUUUAUUUUUAAUAAUUAUUUUUCAUAAUAAAUUUUGGACAUUUAAUAUUCUUAUAACUAAACUUAAAAAAAAUGUGGAGUGAUAAAA
rnacentral:lncRNA from 1 species